UACGUAGGCAGCGAGCGUUGUUCGGAGUUACUGGGCGUAAAGAGUGCGUAGGCGGUUUUCUAAGUUUGGUGUGAAAUCUCCCGGCUUAACUGGGAGGGUGCGCCGAAGACUGGAAGGCUUGAGUAUGGGAGAGGUAAGCGGAAUUCCUGGUGUAGCGGUGAAAUGCGUAGAUAUCGAGAGGAACACCAGUGGCGAAGGCGAGUCUCUGGACAUUUCCUGACGCUGAGGCACGAAAGCCAGGGGAGCAAACGGG
rnacentral:rRNA from 1 species